CUUAAUUUAUUACCCCGGCUGUCAAAGCUGCAUUAGUUUAUUUUAACAGCGAGUGAUGAUUUAUGAAGACUUCUGGAUAAAUUCCUUGGACUCUGCAUCACUAUGCAGGUGAUUGUUCUGCCAAGACACUCACGGCCUAAGCUCCUGUGCAAGAGUCCGCCUGCAAUAUGGGCCAAAGAUAACGCGACGUUUUCCUCUCCCACUUCAGCAGAAGAAAUAAAAAAGAAAAAGGACGGCAGCGUUGAAUAAUCACACAAUCAAAAACAAUCGAGCUGGACUUUGAAGUUGCUGCACUACCAAAUCUCAAAAAUACAUCUGCUGCAGAAAUGGUGUUU
ensembl:lncRNA